UACGGAGGGUGCGAGCGUUGUCCGGAAUCAUUGGGCGUAAAGGGCGCGUAGGCGGCAUGCCAAGCGUGUGGUGAAAGCCCGGGGCUCAACCCCGGGUCGGCCGUGCGGACUGGCGUGCUCGAGCACUGUAGGGGCGGGUGGAAUUCCGGGUGUAGCGGUGGAAUGCGUAGAUAUCUGGAGGAACACCGGUGGCGAAGGCGGCGUCCUGGACCAACACUGACACUGAGGAGCGAAAGCCAGGGGAGCAAACGGG
rnacentral:rRNA from 1 species